rnacentral:rRNA from 1 species
UAACGCGUGGGGAACCGUGCCCUAUACAGGGGGAGUAACAGCUGGAAACGGUUGCUAAUACCGCAUAAGCGCACAGAAUCGCAUGAUUCAGUGUGAAAAGCCCUGGCAGUAUAGGAUGGUCCCGCGUCUGAUUAGCUGGUUGGUGAGGUAACGGCUCACCAAGGCGACGAUCAGUAGCCGGCUUGAGAGAGUGAACGGCCGCAUUGGGACUGAGACACGGCCCAA